UUGAUCCUGAGAUGUGCGUAAAACUUAUUUUUUUCAACCGACAUAAUCAAUAAGGGAUUUUCAAUAAUUUUAUGGAUGUCAGGCUUUUAAGAAAUUAUUUUAGUAGGCAGAAGUAAAAUGAGUUUAGCCCACCUGCUUAAAUGCGGGUAUGAUAAAUAAGAAAAACGGCAUGUUGGGUCAUU
rnacentral:other from 1 species